rnacentral:tRNA from 1 species
UGUUCUGUGGCUUAGUUAAUUAAAGCGCCGUACUAGCGUUACGAAGUCGUGGGUUCGAAACCCACAAAAACCA